UAGGGAAUUCGGCAAUGGACGGAAGUCUGACCGAGCAACGCCGCUGAGUGAAGAAGGUUUUCGGAUCGUAAAGCUCUGUUGUAAGAGAAGAACGAGUGUGAGAGUGGAAAGUUCACACUGUGACGGUAUCUUACCAGAAAGGGACGGCUAACUACGUGCCAGCAGCCGCGGUAAUACGUAGGUCCCGAGCGUUGUCCGGAUUUAUUGGGCGUAAAGCGAGCGCAGGCGGUUAGAUAAGUCUGAAGUUAAAGGCUGUGGCUUAACCAUAGUAGGCUUUGGAAACUGUUUAACUUGAGUGCAAGAGGGGAGAGUGGAAUUCCAUGUGUAGCGGUGAAAUGCGUAGAUAUAUGGAGGAACACCGGUGGCGAAAGCGGCUCUCUGGCUUGUAACUGACGCUGAGGCUCGAAAGCGUGGGGAGCAAACAGGAUUAGAUACCCUGGUAGUCCACGCUGUAAACGAUGAGUGCUAGGUGUUAGACCCUUUCCGGGGUUUAGUGCCGUAGCUAACGCAUUAAGCACUCCGCCUGGGGAGUACGACCGCAAGGUUG
rnacentral:rRNA from 1 species